GGCAAGGGGACUCCGGCCGGGACCUCGUAGGCCGGUUUCUAUGGCAGCCGGGAGGGACGGGCGGGGGAGGGGAUCGAGCGGUGCGGGGACACCCGUUGAAGACACUCGGCGAGGGGGUUUGGGUCUGCCGCAGAGAAGACCCCUCCUAGUGCACGCAUGGGAAGAGGGGACAGAGCCGAAUGCGGGUUGUCACAGCUCCAUGAACUUUCGCCUGGUGCUGAGCCGCUCCAGCUCUUGAGCAAGGGUUUCCGUGUCCUUGGGAGACCGCGACCCAAUAAUCCUCGCCACAGAAAGGGGGUUUCCAGAAAAACACCGUGGCAGCUCCUCCAGGAAUAUUUAACAAAUAUUGGAAGAAGAUGCAGAGCAAAAGUUUUCUAAGACUGCAUACUCCUGUAGAGUUGAAUUUGUAACUCAAAAGAGUAAAACCUGUUCCAGGACUUCCAGUACUAUGUUUAACAGAAGUGAGAAGAGUGGGCAUCCUUGUCUUGUUCCUGAUCUUAGGAGGAAAAGGUUUCAGUUUUUCACUUGUUAUACAGAAUUGUUUCAAUCUGCUAAUGCAAGGCUAUGAGAAGCUAUUAACAGGAAGAACAAAGAGAAAAUUACUUUAAACACAGAUUUUUAGACUAAGAAAUGCCCAAGUCCAAACUGCACACAAUAUGUACAACUGCAAAUCAUAAGAUAUCUAUGUUUUCCCCAUCCGCUUUAUACACUUGAAUGUGGUCAGGACAAUAGUGAAAAUACUGGUAGAAUAGCCACUUAAGUAUUUAAAGCAGCACUCACUAUUUAUGUAACAAAAGAAUACCAUUCAGGGAGUUAGAACUUUCAAGUUUUAGUCCCAGCUUUUCCAUUAACU